GAGCCAUAGAAGGUGCUGGAUAAAGGAGGGACAGUCAGAUAUAUUUUAGAGAUGACUGUAGAAGGCUGCCUGGAAGGAGUGAACAAGAGCCAGGAGACCCGGGAGGGAGCUUGUGGGGCAGGUCUGGAGAUGGCAAGGGAGGGAUCCUGCUUGGAUGAAAAGUCUUCAGGGACUGUCUCAGGUUACACUCAGGUGCCCUCAGAGCUAAUGUGUUCAGAGGUCUUGUCUCCAGGAUGAAAAUGGGAAGGAGUUGUCAGAUGAGGACAUAUAAAUGGAGGCUGGCAUCUUCAUGAGUACCAGCGGUGGUCCCGGUGUGGGUCUCUCCAUCCAGGGACAUGGUGGAUGGACACUACAUCACUCCAUUCUGCCCUUCCUUUCCCUCCUCCCAUUCUCCCGAGGGCCUCAGUGCAUGGGCGCUGUCCAACCUCUGGUGCUGAAGCAGCCAAGAGACGCAAGCCUGCGUGGCUGCCUCUUAGGAUAUGACAGCACAGCCACUGGCCUCUACUGAAUCCUAUGCAACCUCAGAAGACACCCAGGAGUGAUGCCAUCAUGUGGUGCAAGAGUUCUGAGGGACCACAAUCCUGAAGACAUUGAAUGGCUGUGUUCCUGCUCAUUGCUGGAGGUACUGUCAGGGUCCCUGUCCUCAACCCCUGGUCUGACACUUGCAGAUCAGGCAGGACAUUCUGGAGGAAUCAUGCCCUUGGAAGGAUCCCUGAGGAGUGACUGUUGUUAGAUUAAAAAACAGUGGCAAAGAGCAAUACAGAGAGUUGCCAAAAUUCACACCGCUGGUCCAGGUUUGAAGCAAGCAGUCUGUACCUGCAGUCCUUGUCUGUAACCAUGGCACCCUGGCUUCUCACACAUCUCAUCGUGGAGUUCCACCAUGUGUCAGGCAUGGCACUGAGCACCUUCUUUUAAGAAUAUAAUUUGUAAUUAUGUAGAUUAUUAAUUCUACUUCAAAAUGCCACACAGCCUUCAUGUGAUAAAAUGAAACAAUUGCUCAACUGAUCUCCUGGGAUCUCUACUAAGAUGUUGGCAGCCCGGCCAGCUGGUCUGGCCCUGGACGUGCCUUCAUGGUCUGGUUAUGCUUCAUGACCUGCACUGUGGUCAGUGCCAUUUUGCAGACUCUGAUCACAGUGAAACGUUCCAUGGGAACUUGGGCCAUGAGAAACAUCCUUCCUAACCACGUGACUGCAGAAACAUCCUUAUCGCGUCCUCCUGGGCAAAGGCCCAACAGCCUGACUGCAGGGACAUCCUUGCCAUAUCCUGCUGGGCAGCAAGCUCUACCACCCAGAUCCCUCCCUCCCAGUCCCAUGAUUACCCCAGCCUGUGAGUGGCAGUUGGUGCUGGCACUAAGCUGGUUUCCUCCUCCCCAGGGUU
rnacentral:lncRNA from 1 species